AUGCAAGUCGAGGGGUAACAUAGAGAAGCUUGCUUUUCUGAUGACGACCGGCGCACGGGUGCGUAACGCGUAUAGAAUCUACCUUUUGCUGAGGAAUAGCCCAGAGAAAUUUGGAUUAAUGCCUCAUAGUAUGCAGACCUUCUCAUGAAGAUUGCAUUAAAGGUUACGGCAAAAGAUGACUAUGCGUCCUAUUAGCUAGAUGGUAAGGUAACGGCUUACCAUGGCGACGAUAGGUAGGGGCCCUGAGAGGGGGAUCCCCCACACUGGUACUGAGACACGGACCAGACUCCUACGGGAGGCAGCAGUGAGGAAUAUUGGACAAUGGAGGCAACUCUGAUCCAGCCAUGCCGCGUGCAGGAAGACUGCCCUAUGGGUUGUAAACUGCUUUUAUACAGGAAGAAACAUCUCUACGUGUAGAGACUUGACGGUACUGUAAGAAUAAGGAUCGGCUAGC
rnacentral:rRNA from 1 species